GGUGACUCAGUGGUAGAGCACUUGCCUUGCAUGCAUGAGGACCUGGGUUCAAUUCCUCAGCACCA
rnacentral:tRNA from 1 species